CCUACGGGGGGCAGCAGUGAGGAAUAUUGGUCAAUGGGCGAGAGCCUGAACCAGCCAAGUCGCGUGAAGGAUGACGGCCCUACGGGUUGUAAACUUCUUUUGUCAGGGAGCAAUUGAGUCCACGUGUGGGCUUAGCGAGAGUACCUGAAGAAAAAGCAUCGGCUAACUCCGUGCCAGCAGCCGCGGUAAUACGGAGGAUGCGAGCGUUAUCCGGAUUUAUUGGGUUUAAAGGGUGCGUAGGCGGAAUGCCAAGUCAGCGGUAAAAUCGCGGGGCUCAACCUCGCUCCGCCGUUGAAACUGGCGUUCUAGAGUGGGCGAGAAGUAUGCGGAAUGCGUGGUGUAGCGGUGAAAUGCAUAGAGAUCACGCAGAACGCCGAUUGCGAAGGCAGCAUACCGGCGCCCAACUGACGCUGAAGCACGAAAGCGUGGGGAUCGAACAGGAUUAGAUACCCGAGUAGUC
rnacentral:rRNA from 1 species